rnacentral:rRNA from 1 species
CGCCCAGACUCCUACGGGAGGCAGCAGUGGGGAAUAUUGCACAAUGGGGGAAACCCUGAUGCAGCGACGCCGCGUGAGUGAAGAAGUAUUUCGGUCUGUAAAGCUCUAUCAGCAGGGAAGAAAAUGACGGUACCUGACUAAGAAGCCCCGGCUAACUACGUGCCAGCAGCCGCGGUAAUACGUAGGGGGCAAGCGUUAUCCGGAUUUACUGGGUGUAAAGGGAGCGUAGACGGCAGCGCAAGUCUGGAGUGAAAUCCCAUGGCUUAACCAUGGAACUGCUUUGGAAACUGUGGAGCUUGAGUGCGGGAGGGGCAGGCGGAAUUCCUAGUGUAGCGGUGAAAUGCGUAGAUAUUAGGAGGAACACCGGCGGCGAAGGCGGCCUGCUGGACCGUAACUGACGUUGAGGCUCGAAAGCGUGGGGAGCAAACAGGAUUAGAUACCCCUGUAUA